UUUAAUCAUCUUAUUUUGGUGAAAUCUACUAUGCUCUUUUGCACAAAAUCAGGUAUUUUGGGAGCUCAAGGUCCUUUUUCUGCAGCUACCCUAGUGAAGAAUUCCUAUUUUCAGUCAUCCCCCUUCCUUUCUUUUCUUCCCUCUUUCAUGGUCAGAUCUGAUGAAGGAAGGAAAUGGGUAUACAUGCUGGUUUCGAAGGAUGAUUCCCACUUUGCGCGCCAACAUCCCAUGGUUCGCUGGGUGUUUUGUGGUUGAAACUUGUUUCUUCCCAUGUGCUGGAGCCUCCAGCAGCUUUUCAGACUUUCCUUCGUGGCUUUGUUCUUCA
rnacentral:lncRNA from 1 species